rnacentral:rRNA from 1 species
UACAGAGGGUGCGAGCGUUAAUCGGAAUUACUGGGCGUAAAGGGCGCGUAGGCGGCCUGCUAAGUCAUACGUGAAAUCCCUCGGCUCAACCGAGGAACUGCGUCUGAUACUGGUUGGCUUGAAUUCGGGAGAGGGAUGCGGAAUUCCAGGUGUAGCGGUGAAAUGCGUAGAUAUCUGGAGGAACACCGGUGGCGAAGGCGGCAUCCUGGACCGAGAUUGACGCUGAUGCGCGAAAGCCAGGGGAGCAAACGGG